GGAGCUUUCUGGGUUUGUGUAUUUGGAGGGGGUCAGAGUUCGUGACCUCUCGGCUCCGCGGUGCGCGCUCCAGCCCGCGCCUGCGCGUGAGUGGUCUGGGGGGACAGGCGAGAGGAGGGCGUGACGCUCCCUGGGAGGAGGGAUGAAAGGACCCAGCCUCUCAAGACCGACUGCCCCCUAGCGGCGAGGAGGGAGAAUGCCCCGCCAUUGCUGCGCCUCGGGGGUCAAGGACUUAAAGACCCAAAGGCGGUCCUGAAAGGUUUUGAAACAACUUUUCAGAUUUGAGUAUUGAGAUAACCUCAUCAGUUUUAGGCAAUUCUGUUUGUAAUUUGGGGAAACUGGGCUCUGUUAUAGGCUCUCUAACAUUUAUCAGAGGACUAACAAGUAUGGGUAAAUCCCAAUAAGACAUUUAAAAGUCCCUUCAAUAAAAUGACAAACUGGGGUAGACGCCUGUGUAGUAAGGCCAAGUUUUUACUUAUCAGCUCUUGUAAGUAAAUAGGUAUAAUUGCUAAAUGGUGCAUGGAUGUAAUUACUUAGAAUGUCAAAUUCCUGAAGGCUUAUUUUUGUCUGAUUUGCUCAGGCAUGUAUUCCCAAGCCUAUAGGACAAUGCCUGAUGGCCAACCAAAAAUUGGAAAGAGGUAUUGAUGGAACAUGACAUUCUGACAGUAACUGCCAGUGGCACAGAGGUGUGGCAGGAAGAGCUGUCCUGUAUGCAAAGUACUGUGUGAUGGUUUGGAUUUUAAGAGAAGGGGUCCUCAAAAUUUCUUUAGUAUUGACCAGCACCAGGAAAGCAGUCGUGGAUUCAGGCCAGAAACCCAAGUGAGGAAAACAAAGGUGCACUGGGAAGGAGAACAUCUCUGUCAUUUCCUGCUGGAACUAGGAGCCGGACACAGGACACAGAAAAGGGGCAUGCAGCUGUAUUUCUAACAAGUAGAAAUAUACUUUAGGCCGCAUUCUCUAAAAGUUCCACUUUUCCUUUGGCAUCAUUCUAUUUGGUGGUUUUAAGGCAGCCCCUCCUCCCUCCACCCCCCAAAUCCUUAAGAUGGUCUCAAAAGUGGAAGAAAGCAUAUUUACAAUGAAGAAGGCAAUCUGAGACCUUGUCUCUAUUCUCAGUGCAUGAGUGCUUAUAGUGAUGCUUGUGGUUACCCCUUAUCAUCCAAUUAAUUCAUAUAAGUUACAGUAGGUUGACUUAUUAAAAUGUGGAAGUAGAAGCCAUUUGGGAAACAUCAUUUGUGGGUGGAGAAGAGCAUCCCCUAAUUAUGCUUCAGGAAAACAAGUCAAUGUGAUUCAUCUUUAAAUGUGACUCUUAAAAAAAUUAAGGUCUAAAGAGAACGAAAGGGAAAAUAAACAAAAAAUAAUAAUAUAAAAAAUUAUGACUUAAAACACAUCACACCAAAAGUAGAUAAAUUUAUUUUGUAUAAAUACAUAUUAACAUUAUUUACAAUGCUAACAUUUGAUUUAUAAAGGAUUUACUAGUAGAUCUCUAUAUGGACAAUAAGGUACAGACUAUUAUCACUUUAAGUAAAAAGUAUUUAUAGAAAUUCAUAAGUCAUUUAAAGAAACAAUAGUAUUUUAAGAUUGGUUUUCAAGAUGCUAUGACCAACUUACAUAAAAGAAAAGGCUGCCCCCUUUUAAUCUCUCCCCCCAGCAGAAAAAAGGAAUUUGAUAUAUUGAGGCGUUUUGAAAAUGUACUGCCUUCAUCUUAAAAAGAAAAUACUAGAAAUUACUUAUCUCUUUUCUUAAAGGGGGAAAAAAGUUGUAGGGAAGAUUUUCUCUUAGAAAAUAACUUUAAAAGUGGCAUAAGCUCCUGAAUGAUAUUUGUGUAUUGGGGAUACUAAAAAAAAGGGGGGGGGGAGGGGAAAUCCAUUUGAAGUAAUUUAAUUUAUCAAACAGAUACUGAAUAUCCAACAAGUAUAGGCACUCUGCCAGAUGCUGAGGGGGAAUCUCAAAUGAAUAAGAUACAGUUGCUGUUCUCCAGGACAGAAUGUAAUAAGUACCAUAAGAAAGUCUGUUUAUGAGCUAAAGGCUAUGGGAAUAUAGAGGAAGGGAAAACUAGAUCUAGCCUGAGAAAACAGGAGGGAAGUAGGGAAGAGAAGGACGAGGGAUCAACUUCAGAGAAGUCUUGGAUAAAUAGGCAGAAAUGGGGGUGGAAGAGAGGGUGAGAAAACAAACUGAACAGAGGAAGGUUGGGUUGGGAUCAGCUGGAGUGCAUGAUACCUGGGGAAAAGUGUUCCAUGCCACGCCACUGGGAAGCCAACGGAAGUGGAAGAGCAGGAUGAAAGCAGACCCAUGCUUUAGAAGAUGGCUCUGGCAGUGUUAAAAAUGGGACCGUGCAAGGAAGGCAUUGAAAUCGGAAGAAGAGUUAUUCCAGUCAUUGGAAAGAAGAUACAAGAGCAAUUGCAGAGGGCCCUGUUGAGACUUGGAGUCAGAUUCUGGCGAGUACAACACUGUUUUUCCAUCACAGAAGAAAAUAAACAGAUUAAAAGAAAAGUGAGUUUUAGUGAUUUAAAGUUUAAAAUGCUUAAGGACUCGUGUGUCAGUGUCCAAGUGGUAGUUGCAAAUGUGGCCUUGCAGGAUGGUGGAAUGUGUAGGUUUAAGAAAUGAGUUGUAAUGUAGGCAUUUGGAGAGCUGUGCUUGAGAUGUAGAUGACAAGAAUCAUGUCCU